rnacentral:rRNA from 1 species
CCUACGGGUUGCACCAGUGGGGAAUAUUGCACAAUGGGCGCAAGCCUGAUGCAGCCAUGCCGCGUGUAUGAAGAAGGCCUUCGGGUUGUAAAGUACUUUCAGCGGGGAGGAAGGUGUUGUGGUUAAUAACCACAGCAAUUGACGUUACCCGCAGAAGAAGCACCGGCUGACUCCGUGCCAGCAGCCGCGGUAAUACGGAGGGUGCAAGCGUUAAUCGGAAUUACUGGCGUAAAGCGCACGCAGGCGGUCUGUCAAGUCGGAUGUGAAAUCCCCGGGCUCAACCUGGGAACUGCAUUCGAAACUGGCAGACUAGAGUCUUGUAGAGGGGGGUAGAAUUUCAGGUGUAGCGGUGAAAUGCGUAGAGAUCUGAAGGAAUACCGGUGGCGAAGGCGGCCCCCUGGACAAAGACUGACGCUCAGAUGCGAAAGCGUGGGGAGCAAACAGGAUUCGAUACCCUCGUAGUC